UGGGGAAUAUUGCACAAUGGGCGGAAGCCUGAUGCAGCAACGCCGCGUGCGGGAUGACGGCCUUCGGGUUGUAAACCGCUUUCGCCUGUGACGAAGCGUGAGUGACGGUAAUGGGUAAAGAAGCACCGGCUAACUACGUGCCAGCAGCCGCGGUGAUACGUAGGGUGCGAGCGUUGUCCGGAUUUAUUGGGCGUAAAGGGCUCGUAGGUGGUUGAUCGCGUCGGAAGUGUAAUCUUGGGGCUUAACCCUGAGCGUGCUUUCGAUACGGGUUGACUUGAGGAAGGUAGGGGAGAAUGGAAUUCCUGGUGGAGCGGUGGAAUGCGCAGAUAUCAGGAGGAACACCAGUGGCGAAGGCGGUUCUCUGGGCCUUUCCUGACGCUGAGGAGCGAAAGCGUGGGGAGCGAACAGGCUUAGAUACCCUGGUAGCCCACGCUGUAAACGGUGGGUACUAGGUGUGGGGUCCAUUCCACGGGUUCCGCGCCGUAGCUAACGCUUUAAGUACCCCGCCUGGGGAGUACGGCCGCAAGGCUAAAACUCAAAGGAAUUGACGGGGCCCCGCACAAGCGGCGGAGCAUGCGGAUUAAUUCGAUGC
rnacentral:rRNA from 1 species